GAUUUCAACUUGCCCACUUCGGGCCACUCAGUCCUGAGCCAAAGCCUCCAGCCCAGUCCAGCCCGCAGCAAGGCCUUACCUGCUGCAGUGGACUCCUCAGAGUUGGCCCCCGAGCUGGUUCCUGUCGCCUUCUCACUGUGACUAUGGCUGAGGCUCUGGCCCUGGUGCAGGAGGAGUCCCCAGAGGAGCCACAGGGCAAGACGGACGCAUACAUCCAUGACUCUAGGUGUCAGCUCCGCAGAUUACUACACCCCUGCGGAAGGGGGCGGCCGGAGUCUCCGCGGGCACAGGAGUGGAGGAGGAAGAGAAGAGAAGAGAGGCGAGAAGGGGGCACCUGACCUCGCCCUGCCGAAGAGCGGCGAGCAGCAGAAGCUGGGGAGGGCGUGCGACCCGCAGGGUCCUGAGGGCGCGGGCGUCUCCGGGAUCCUGGGCCUCCUAGGCCGAGGUCAGCGCCCCCGCCCAGUCCCGUG
rnacentral:lncRNA from 1 species